rnacentral:rRNA from 1 species
AACGAACGCUGGCGGCGUGCUUAACACAUGCAAGUCGAACGGCAAGGCCCUGCUUUUGUGGGGUGCUCGAGUGGCGAACGCGUGAGUAACACGUGAGUAACCUGCCCUUGACUUUGGGAUAACUUCAGGUAACUGGGGCUAAUCCCAUAUAGCAGCUCCUGCUGCAUUGUGGGGGUUGGAACGUUUCGGCGGUUGGGGAUGGAUGCGCGGCUUAUCAGCUUGUUGGUGGGGUAGUGGAUUACCAAGGCUUUGACGGGUAGCCGGCCUGAGAGGGUGACCGGCCCCAUGGGGACUGAGAUACGGCCCAGACUCCUACGGGAGGCAGCAGUGGGGAAUAUUGCACAAUGGGCGGAAGCCUGAUGCAGCAACGCCGCGUGCGGGAUGACGGCCUUCGGGUUGUAAUCCGCUUUCGCCUGUGACGAAGCGUGAGUGACGGUAAUGGGUAAAGAAGCACCGGCUAACUACGUG